rnacentral:misc_RNA from 1 species
AACACCUCAAGUCAAGAGAGCUUUUUUUGAGUUCUUCGAGACUUGGAUUUGAGCGAUCCUAACCUUUUUAUAUUUAUAUAAAAAGAGCAGGUUGCUUGAAAUUCAGGUGCAGCUAGGCUUUAUCUUCUGAGCUAUAAGCAUAAUUUAUUUAGUCUUGAUUGACUAUUACUUUUGCUGCAGCUUACAUAAAGGUUGAUUAUUGCCCAAAGUUGGCUGACUGAUGCAGGACUUUAUCAGAGUAGCGCAAGCUUUCUGUUAAA